GCCCGCGGCGAUAGCACUUUGAAUUCACCAGUCCCCCUAUUGGUCACUGAUGUUAAAUAACGGUGCGCUUGGUUAGUAUCGGGAUGGGUGACCAUCUGAGCUAUCGCGAGCUGAUGGCU
rnacentral:rRNA from 1 species